UUCAGAGCCCUGGAGACUUAAGAUCUUCUUUAGCCUCACAGAACAGAUAAAACAUGGCAGUGAAAGAUUCCCAUACCCCACCCAGGGUGCACCAUCAAUAUUCCUCAACCCUGACUUGGAGGGACCAACUCUAGGAGCUAAGGAUGGUUCAAGCUAUAACCCAGUAACCCAGUUCAUUCAUCGGCUUCU
rnacentral:sRNA from 1 species